rnacentral:lncRNA from 1 species
CAUGCGUCUCACACUGCUCAUUGGUUGCACGGGUUGGUAACACCGGGAGUUCAUGGUCAAGAACAUAAACUAUCUUUUCACAACUCAAGACAAUCUUCAAGUUGCGGAGCCAAUCUUUAUAGUUUGGUCCGGUCAACCUAUUGUUAUCUAGAAUUCGAACUAUCGGGUUGCAAGCCAUUGACAUCUGCAGAGAGUAAAGAUUCUAAUUAGAAAUUUGUAUUUGACAUUAAUUUGUUUUCUGCAACCAUCAGCCUAAUCCGCUCCCAAGCUUGAUCCGAGUUCAUCCCGAGCUUCACGGCAUCCAGCUUAUCCCCUGCAUCCAAGAGAAUCCACCCUUCAUCCCGUUGUGAUUCAUCCUCACCCGUGAACCAUAUCCUCC